AGGUUUCAUAGAUUCUCAUCUCAACAGUCUGGAAAAUGCAUAUCUUAAGUCGCUGCUGAAGUAAAGACGGUCAUCCAGGAGAAACUGGGAGAUAGCAUAAAUCUUCAUAGACAACUUGGCUGCAAGCAGUUAAACAGAAAUUGACUUCUGCCUGCUGGCUGCAGAGCACUAGUCUGACGUUCCUGCCUGACACUCUGCAGACUAAAUCAUGCCAGCCUUAUCAGCUGGAUCUGGAAGUGACACAGGUCUGUACGAGCUGCUGGCUGCAUUGCCAGCCCAGCUGCAGCCACAUGUGGACAGCCAGGAAGACCUGACCUUCCUCUGGGAUAUGUUUGGUGAAAAAAGCCUUCAUUCACUGGUGAAGGUAAACCACAUUUAAGUCAGAUUCUCUUUGAGAAGAGCAUAUGGAAAAAUGUUUUGAGCGCCAUCUAGUAAACCAGUGAUCAAACUGUUGCUCAGUGAAAACAAAA